AUUGUUAAUGUGCGUGAGUUAUUUCUAAAAGUGAAAGAUAAUUUUUUAGAUCUAAAGUACCAGGUAAACUAAGUUGAAAUGAAAGUACCGUAAAAGUACAUAUAGAUGAAUUUUUCAUGCUAAAAAUAAUUAAAUUGUGGGUCACAUAAUAAGAAUAUACAUAAAAUAUACUAAUACAAAAUAACUAAUUGGUCUAAGUUUGUACCUGUCACAUGCUGUGUCAAAUAUAUCUUUUGUUGUCAUGUCGAGCAUUUUUUCAGCUACAUCACCCAAAAUUACUGCAGUUGUUGAACCACUACCAUUAAUAAAAUUAAUCAGGAACAUAUACAUGCAACUAAAGAUGGUAUAAUAUAUGUACAUAUAUGAUAUAUUUGCUAAAAUGAUACUUCUAAGUAUGGUAAAACUAUAAUACCCGAGGAAGUAAUGUUGUCCAUUUACACUUGGUGCAGUCAAAAUCUCUUCUUUCCUUCGCUCGCAACUUUUAUUAGCAGCCCAAGCACACAAAAACUACUACAUGUCAUUUGAUAUUGAAAUUUC
rnacentral:lncRNA from 1 species